UAUUGACAGGACGAUCCUUCUGUAAAUAGUUUGGUUUUGGUUUAUCAUCUUGGAGGAAGAACAUUACAAGUCACCCUUAUUUCUGUAAACAGUGGAAUGUAUAAAAUUUUGGAUUCGUUUUAUAAUAAUUCCAUUGGAGGAGAAAGUUUUGAUGAGGUUUUAGUUUCACAUUUAGCAGAUGAAUUUAAAAGAAUAUGGAAAGAC